rnacentral:tRNA from 20 species
GCCGACGUAGUUUAAUGGUAGAACUGCAGCUUCCCAAGCUGCUAGCGCGGGUUCGAUUCCCGUCGUCGGCUCCA